CAAUUAAAACUUAAGCAAAAAGGAAAGACGGGAAAAAAUAGACAGAACCUACCAAAUUUGAAGGCUAAACUGCAACGCAAAGUGUUCUCUAACCUUGUUUGCAGCUUACAGAUGCCAAAAACAAAGUGAAUAUCAGAUCUAAUCGUGUGCAAAUGAGAUUGCAAUAGCUUGAAAAGCUAGGAAGCUAAAAAGCCCCAGUUGGACCACAGAAAAACCAACCCUUCUACCAUA
rnacentral:lncRNA from 1 species